UGCAGAAUCCCGUGAACCAUCGAGUCUUUGAACGCAAGUUGCGCCCGAAGCCGCUAGGCCUAGGGCACGCCUGCCUGGGCGUCA
rnacentral:rRNA from 1 species